rnacentral:tRNA from 1 species
GGGUUGUUAGCUCAGUUGGUAGAGCAGCUGACUCUUAUCAGCGGGUCGGGGGUUCGAAACCCUCACAACCCA